rnacentral:tRNA from 1 species
CGGUUUGUAGCUCAGGGGAAGAGCACCGGGAUUUCCCGGAGGUCGCAGGUUCGAUUCCUGUCUUACCAC